rnacentral:rRNA from 1 species
ACCGAUAGCGAACAAGUUCCGUGAGGGAAAGUUGAAAAGAACUUUGAAGAGAGAGUUCAAGAGUACGUGAAACCGUUCAGGGGUAAACCUGAGAAACCCGAAAGGUCGAAUGGGGAGAUUCAUUCGCGAACCGAAUCGUCGGCGUGGCGUGUCGGUGUGACGGUGGCGUUCGCGCCGUCCGCACACUUCGCGUUACGAGCCGAUUUCGGACGUGUGCACUUCUCCCCUAGUAGGACGUCGCGAUCCGUUGGGCGUCGGUCUACGGUCCGCAGUGAAGCCCGCGAGCAAGUUUCGACUGCUCUCGGACACGCGGUUAUCCGACCGGCUCGCUCGACGGUUUACAGAUGGCGGGAGGCCGCGACUUCAGUUCGCGUCCGGCCCGCGGCAAGCUCGCUAGCUGUGUUGGCGAUCGGACCUAGCGCCGAUCCUGGCCGCUGGCGGCUGUUCGCCGCGGAGUUCUCGGACAGACCUCUUUGAAACGCCGAUCGGCGACGCUAUAGCUUUGGGUACUUUCAGGACCCGUCUUGAAACACGGACCAAGGAGUCUAGCGUGUGCGCGAGUCAUUGGGAUAACACUAAACCUAAAGGCGUAAUGAAAGUAAAAGUCCGUCUUGCACGGACAGAGGGAAGACGGUCGAUCUUUAACGAGAUCGUCCCGCACUCCCGGGGCGUCUCGUUCUCAUUGCGAGAGGAGGCGCACCAAGAGCGUACACGCUGGGACCCGAAAGAUGGUGAACUAUGCCUGGUCAGGACGAAGUCAGGGGAAACCCUGAUGGAGGUCCGUAGCGAUUCUGACGUGCAAAUCGAUCGUCGGAACUGGGUAUAGGGGCGAAAGACCAAUCGAACCAUCUAGUAGCUGGUUCCCUCCGAAGUUUCCCUCAGGAUAGCUGGCGCUCGUCGCGUACGAGUCUCAUCCGGUAAAGCGAAUGAUUAGAGGCAUUGGGGUCGAAACGACCUCAACCUAUUCUCAAACUUUAAAUGGGUGAGAUCUCCGGCUUGCUCGAAUGUGAAGCCGCGAGACUACGGAUCAGAGUGCCAAGUGGGCCAUUUUUGGUAAGCAGAACUGGCGCUGUGGGAUGAACCAAACGCCGAGUUAAAGCGCCUAAAUCGACGCUUAUGGGAUACCAUGAAAGGCGUUGCUAACUUAWGACAGCAGGACGGUGGCCAUGGAAGUCGGAAUCCGCCAAGGAGUGUGUAACAACUCACCUGCCGAAGUUACUAGCCCUGAAAAUGGAUGGCGCUGAAGCGUCGUGCUUAUACUCGGCCGUCAGAGGCAUGUGCGGUCGCGCCUGGCGCGGCCAUGAAGCCCUGAUGAGUAGGAGGGUCGCGAAGGUGCGCGCAGAAGGGCUGGCCGUGGGGCCGUCUGGAGCCGCCUUCGGUGCAGAUCUUGGUGGUAGUAGCAAAUACUCCAGCGAGGCCCUGGAGAGCUGAGGUGGAGAAGGGUUUCGUGUGAACAGCCGUUGCACACGAGUCAGUCGAUCCUAAGCCCUAGGCGAAAGCCGAUGUUGAUGUGGCGUUGUUAAUCGCUUAUGAUACCUGCCGAAGUGCGUGUCGAACGGACGUUUGAAGGUACGUCGUCGCCGCCUGCGUUUUGUGCGUGGUAAAGCGUCAAGCACGCCCGUCGGGCGAAAGGGAAUCCGGUUCCUAUUCCGGAACCCGGCAGCGGAACCGUCAUUAAAUCGGGCCCUCGCAAGAGAGUUCGUCGGGGCAACCCAAAAGGACCCGGAGACGCCGUCGAGAGAUCCGGGAAGAGUUUUCUUUUCUGCAUGAGCGUUCGAGUUCCAUGGAAUCCUCUAGCAGGGAGAUAUGGUUUGGAACGCGAAGAGCACCGCAUUUGCGGCGGUGUCCGGAUCUUCUCCUCGGACCUUGAAAAUCCGGGAGAGGGCCACGUGUAAGCGUCGCGCCGGCUCGUACCCAUAUCCGCAGC